GACCUCCCUAAGGAGAAGUGGUUUAAAUAUAAUCCUCCCACUGAAGUAAAAGUAGUUGCACCUAUUAAAGUUGAAGAAAAGAAUAUCACUUAUAAUGAUCCAGUUGUUCCUACUACUUAUAUUGAGAAGCCACCUUUCCCUGUUAGGAUAAAAGAUCAUGUUAAAGCUUCAACUGUGGUUCGUAAGAGUAAUACUAAAACACCUGCACCACCUGAGAAAAUUAAAGUUGAACCUAUUAUUGCUAUGGUUAAAGAUCUCUUGGAUGAUAAUAUUGAAGGGCAUGUUAUUUAUUUCUAUGACGAAGCUGCUAGAAUUGCUAUACCUGAUGCUAAAAAUAAACAUAGACCUGUUGUAGGCAUGCCUGUCAUUUCUGUUAAAAUAGGAGAUCAUUGUUAU
rnacentral:rRNA from 1 species